rnacentral:rRNA from 1 species
CAAUACUGUAGUGGCGGAACGGGUGAGUAACACGUUGGUGACCUGCCCCAAAGAUGGGAAUAUCACCUGGAAACGGGUGGCAAAACCGAAUAAGCUUUUUCCGAGUUAGAGAAGGAAAAGUAAAAGUGCAAACUACUUUGGGAGGGGGCCUGCGGCCCAUCAGUUAGUUGGUGAGGGUAACGGCCACCAAGACGAAGACGGGUAGGGGACCUGAGAGGGUGGUCCCCCACAAUGGAACUGAAACACGGUCCAUACACCUGCGGGUGGCAGCAGUAGGGAAUAUUGCUUAAUGGGCGAAAGCCUGAUGCAAGCGACGCCGCGUGAGUGAAAGAAGUAUUUCGGUAUGUAAAGCUCUAUCAGCAGGAAAGAAAAUGACGGUACCUGACUAAGAAGCCCCGGCUAACUACGUGCCAGCCGCAGC